CGCAACCCAUCCAAAACCCUUUCCGCCGUCAAAAAACGCGAAGCCCUUCAUCUUCUUCAAACUCAACCGUCAAAACCCCACCACCAGCAAAUAAACCUAUCGCGCGUCACCACCAACAUCUCAAAGACCGACCACACCACUACCGCCGCUCACCUUCCUCAACAACCUUCACUCCGCCGCUGAAACCCACAAAACAACCUUCAUUGUUCCUCGCCGGUUUUAUCCUCUUUUGUUAACCUCGCAUCCGAGAUACCGCCAUUGUGUCGGUAACUUCGACUCAACAGAAGCUGAAGUUUCUGAUUUACUUACUGAUAUUUGGCUUCGAGUUUACUGCAGAAUUCUUCCAAACAACAAAUCAAAGUCCGCAUUUCUAUAAUUUCCAAGCCGUGUCCAAGGUCGGUUCUCACCAUUUCCGACGAUAGCAAAGGUUGACGCAGAUCUCGCCUUCGCCAUUCUCUAUCCGCAUUAAUCCUGGGAAUGUUAGCAUUAAUCCUGUUUCAAGGCGGAUUCGGUUUCCAUGGCAGCAUACUCCGGUAUUGUUUGGCCGAAGGAUACUUCUAGGAAUAUCUUAGUUUCUUCAUAGAAGUUGAAAAAAUCAAAGAAUUAUUAUUUUU